rnacentral:rRNA from 1 species
AUUGAACGCUGGCAGAAUGCUUUACACAUGCAAGUCGAACGGCAGCACGGACUUCGGUCUGGUGGCGAGUGGCGAACGGGUGAGUAAUGUAUCGGAACGUGCCCAGUCGUGGGGGAUAACGUAGUGAAAAUUACGCUAAUACCGCAUACGAUCUAUGGAUGAAAGCGGGGGAUCGCAAGACCUCGCGCGAUUGGAGCGGCCGAUAUCAGAUUAGGUAGUUGGUGGGGUAAAGGCCCACCAAGCCAACGAUCUGUAGCUGGUCUGAGAGGACGACCAGCCACACUGGAACUGAGACACGGUCCAGACUCCUACGGGAGGCAGCAGUGGGGAAUUUUGGACAAUGGGCGAAAGCCUGAUCCAGCCAUUCCGCGUGCAGGAUGAAGGCCCUCGGGUUGUAAACUGCUUUUGUACAGAACGAAAAGGUUUCUACUAAUACUAGGAGCUCAUGACGGUACUGUAAGAAUAAGCACCGGCUAAUUACGUGCCAGCCGCCGCAGUAA